rnacentral:rRNA from 12 species
ACAGGGAUUGCCCUAGUAACGGCGAGUGAAGCGGCAACAGCUCAAAUUUGAAAUCUGGCGUCUUUGGCGUCCGAGUUGUAAUUUGCAGAGGGCGCUUUGGCAUUGGCAGCGGUCCAAGUUCCUUGGAACAGGACGUCACAGAGGGUGAGAAUCCCGUACGUGGUCGCUAGCCUUUACCGUGUAAAGCCCCUUCGACGAGUCGAGUUGUUUGGGAAUGCAGCUCUAAAUGGGAGGUAAAUUUCUUCUAAAGCUAAAUACUGGCCAGAGACCGAUAGCGCACAAGUAGAGUGAUCGAAAGAUGAAAAGCACUUUGGAAAGAGAGUUAAAAAGCACGUGAAAUUGUUGAAAGGGAAGCGCUUGCAGCCAGACUUGCCUGUAGUUGCUCAUCCGGGUUUCUACCCGGUGCACUCUUCUAUAGGCAGGCCAGCAUCAGUUUGGGCGGUUGGAUAAAGGUCUCUGUCAUGUACCUCUCUUCGGGGAGAACUUAUAGGGGAGACGACAUGCAACCAGCCUGGACUGAGGUCCGCGCAUCUGCUAGGAUGCUGGCGUAAUGGCUGUAAGCGGCCCGUCUUGAAACACGGACCAAGGAGUCUAACAUCUAUGCGAGUGUUUGGGUGUCAAGCCCGAGCGCGUAAUGAAAGUGAACGGAGGUGGGAACCUUUCGGGGUGCACCAUCGACCGAUCCUGAUGUCUUCGGAUGGAUUUGAGUAAGAGCAUAGCUGUUGGGACCCGAAAGAUGGUGAACUAUGCUUGAAUAGGGUGAAGCCAGAGGAAACUCUGGUGGAGGCUCGCAGCGGUUCUGACGUGCAAAUCGAUCGUCAAAUUUGGGCAUAGGGGCGAAAGACUAAUCGAACUAUCUAGUAGCUGGUUCCUGCCGAAGUUUCCCUCAGGAUAGCAGUAACGUUUUCAGUUUUAUGAGGUAAAGCGAAUGAUUAGAGGCCUGGGGGUUGAAACAACCUU